rnacentral:rRNA from 1 species
GUGCCAGCAGCCGCGGUAAUACGUAGGGGGCAAGCGUUAUCCGGAAUUAUUGGGCGUAAAGGGUGCGUAGGCGGGAUAAUAAGUCUGUGGUUAAAAUGCGGUGCUCAACGCCGUAGCGCUACAGAUACUGUUAACCUAGAGUAUGGUAGAAGUGAGUGGAACUCCAUGUGUAGCGGUAAAAUGCGUAAAUAUAUGGAAGAACACCAGUGGCGAAGGCGGCUCACUAGGCCAAAACUGACGCUGAGACACGAAAGCGUGGGGAGCAAACAGGAUUAGAUACCCUGGUAGUCCACGCCCUAAACGAUGAGUACUAAGUGUUGCCAGAAGGCAGUGCUGAAGUUAACGCAUUAAGUACUCCGCCUGAGUAGUACGUACGCAAGUAUGAAACUUAAAGGAAUUGACGGGAGCCCGCACAAGCGGUGGAGCAUGUUGUUUAAUUCGAAGAUACGCGAAGAACCUUACCAGGUCUUGACAUCCUCUGCGAAGCUAUAGAGAUAUAGUAGAGGUUAACAGAGAGACAGGUGGUGCAUGGUUGUCGUCAGCUCGUGUCGUGAGAUGUUAGGUUAAGUCCUGCAACGAGCGCAACCCUUAUUGCUAGUUACCAUCAUUAAGUUGGGGACUCUAGCGAGACUGCCGGUGAUAAACCGGAGGAAGGUGGGGAUGACGUCAAAUCAUCAUGCCCUUUAUGACCUGGGCUACAAACGUGCUACAAUGGCUGAAACAAAGAGAAGCAAGCUCGCGAGAGUAAGCAAACCUCAUAAAAGCAGUCUCAGUUCGGAUUGAAGUCUGCAACUCGACUUCAUGAAGUUGGAAUCGCUAGUAAUCGCGAAGAAGAGUGUCGCGGUGAAUACGUUCUCGGGCUUUGUACACACCGCCCGU